rnacentral:rRNA from 1 species
AACAAACGCUGGCGGCGUGCCUAAUACAUGCAAGUCGAACGGGGAAAGCUUUCGGGUGAGUACUAGUGGCGCACGGGUGAGUAAUGCGUGGAUAAUCUGCCUUGAAGAGGGGGAUAACCAGUCGAAAGAUUGGCUAAUACCGCAUAAGACCACAGGAACUGAGGUUCUAGAGGUCAAAGGUUUUUCGCUUCAAGAUGAGUCCGCGUAAGAUUAGCUAGUUGGUGAGGUAACGGCUCACCAAGGCGACGAUCUUUAACUGGUCUGAGAGGAUGAUCAGUCACACUGGAACUGAGACACGGUCCAGACUCCUACGGGAGGCAGCAGUAGGGAAUAUUGCACAAUGGAGGAAACUCUGAUGCAGCGACGCCGCGUGGGUGAUGAAGGCCUUCGGGUCGUAAAGCUCUGUCGCAGGGGAAUAACACAAUGAAGGUACCCUGUAAGAAAGGAUCGGCUAACUUCGUGCCAGCCGCCGCGGUAAAAC